rnacentral:lncRNA from 1 species
UUGAUAUUGGAAACCUAUGUUAGAUAGAUAUGCUCACAGGCAAAUAACAUAUACCUAAAAUAUAAGAGCAUACACCACAAGCACAGGGACAUAUUCUACUGUAUCAACACAGCACUAUCAACAAACCCUGCAGUAAAUAGAUAUUUCAUAGGCAAACAAACCCAUAACUGAAAAAUAUAAGAGUAUACACCACAAGCACAGGGACAUAUUCUACUUUAUCCACACAACACGAGCAAAGCAUGUUAAUACAAUCUAUUUAUCCAUUAAGCUACCUUUUUAAUAUAAAAUACAUCAAUUAUCUACGAUGUGGGCAGAUUUUACGACAUACUACUGAAUGUCUGUUAAUGUCAUUUUAUUAUUAAUAAAACCAAAAGAGGAAAAUAACAAAAUUACCGAACUC